GUUAUUUUAUAUUAAAAAAAAUGACGCAACUAAUCACAUUAAUAAGUGCGUAAAAAUAUAAACAAAAAUGACGGCAGAUAGAGUUUUUGAUUAUAAAAAGGGGGAAAGAGGGGAGGAUUUGAAGGGUUCAAAACAAUCGGCUUUGGGAGGAAAGGAGAGAGCUGUCAAUAUAUUUCACUCAAAAUCAUGACUGCAGAAAUGGGAAAAAUGGAAUCUUAACCCAUUUUCAGCUGAUUUCCCAAUUCCAGGAAGUGGGUCAGUCUAAAUUGCAUUUACAAAAAGAAGGCAAAAGUGGGUCUUUGAUAAUUCAUGGUAUGGUCCGCUGCAAUGAUCCUCAUGAAGAGUUGCUCCUGCUUUUUGCCAAGGCUCUUUGCCUGAAAGUAAUCCAUUGCUUUGGGUCUUUGCCAAUCAUUUUUUAUUCUGUUUUGUUUUUUAUAUGAAAAAUCUAUUCUCAAUAGCCCUUUUAAGUUCACAAAUUGGUGGUUCCAAAGUCCCAGAAAUGGCCUAGCUUUUUCCCCAAAUGAAACAAAGUAGUAAUGACCCAAAGUUGAAUCAGACAUAUGCAAGCAUGUCUGUCGAAAAACAUGGUGCAUGCAGCAGAUAUAUUCUGAUUGCCCGACUUGAGAAUGGAGAUAGAAGAAGGGAGGUCAAGUGAGCGAAAGAGAAAGAGAUUCCCCCAUCAAUUGUUAGCAAAUCCAUGCACCAAAAUUUACAGAGGAGAUCCCUUUUCCACCAGAGAAAGAUGCCCUGCAUCAUCAUCAUCAUCAUCAUGGCUUUUGUCUUGGCUUGCUUAGCUACAAGGCACGUUUUGUAGUAUUGCCACCGGGCUAUCUUUAAGCUCAUUUCGUGUAUAAAUCCUUCAACUUUUAUGGUCAUGACUCAUGACCAUACUUCUCAGCUCACAUUGCAGGUGCCACCACACACACACACACACACAUAGAGAGAGAGAGAGAGAGAGAGAGAGAGAGAGAGAGAGAGAGAGAGAUGGAAGAGGGUGCUGUGCCUGGAGGGGAGAGUAACAAGGUAAGGUCAGCAAAUUAUCUUAGUAGUGUUGGUGAUUGGAUUUUUUAAACUUCAAUUGAUUUCAGAAAUGCGUUCAUCUCUGUUUUCUUUUCUCAAUCCCAUGCCUUCUCUUUUGUCUGUCUUUUUUCCUCUCUUCCAUGUUAAUUGCUAUAUUUUAAUGGUAUCAUGAGUUGUCUAAACGGAGGUCCCUAGGUAGGUUGACAUGCCAAACACAUGUGACCAUCGGAAAUAGCCAGCUUGACACGACGGAGAAAUCUAACACUACUCUAUUAAUAAUACCUGACACGCUGAUAAUAUUUUUAUUAUUUUAUGAGUUUUCCUUUCUUUAUAUACUAUCAACUCACAUUAAGUUAUAUAAACCUCUCUAAGGAUAUCAUCCAUUGUUCUUCUGAUUGAACUUUUUUCUUUAAUCUUAUCGUCAGAAACUAAAACUCAUGCAAGGUGAUGGUUCAAGUAGUUCUUCAGAAGUUUAUGAAUAUAUUAGCAGGAAAGGCAUCGGAGUUGGAGGCCCUAAGGAAAGAGCUUGAGCAGAAAAACUUUAAGAUUCAAGAGCUAAAAAGACAAAUUGAAGCAACUAAGCAUCGUCUGGAAGGAAAGAAAAAAGUUCCAGAGGAGCAAAUGGAAGUGCUGAAGAGCUUGAUCAAGAAAUACAAUAGCAUAAGAGAGGAACAUGAGCCAUUGUUGGCCGACAAGUCUAGGAAGAUAUAUUUAUAAGUAAACAAAGGCAGCAAGCAUGCAUCUUAAAUAUUAGUUUCAAAUUAAAAGAUCGAUGCUGAUCAUCCAAUGAUUUCCAUAAACUUGGUUGCAAAAAUUAAUGGAUGUUAUUGGAGGUAA